rnacentral:rRNA from 1 species
AUGAAUGAUGGAGAGGGAAGUAGUACGGCGUGCGCCGUCCGUUGGCCAUCCGAUGGCAAGAACGUAGAACGGGCUUUGUCGCUCAGUUCACCAGCAAAGCUACCGGCCCAUGCGGCCCAACGCGACGCAAGCGAGGGAAGCAAGGGGAAAAGGGUGCAAGAGGCCAUAGAAAAAGAGCGAGGAUUACAGAAACGGCGGGAAAGUUCACUGGAAGGAGAUCGCUCGCGCCCGGUGGGGACUACUGCUCUGCUCGCCAAGCUCAGAGUAGUAUUGCCUAGUUUGGUACCUCAUGUUGGCAUGGAAUUCAAAAUUUCAGUUGAGGCUUGGUCAUUUGGGCUUACUUAUAGUAUACAGAAAGGAUUUGAAGCAAGAAAAUGGUAUACAAACAAAAGGCCAAGCGAUGCAAGACCUAAUUCAAGCAACAGAGCAAAUGGCCCGCGGAAGCCUUGA